CAGUCGAGCGCGGGAAGCGAGUGGAUCCCUUCGGGGUGAAGCUCGUGGAACGAGCGGCGGACGGGUGAGUAACACGUGGGCAACCUGCCUGUAAGAUCGGAAUAACCCCGGGAAACCGGGGCUAAUGCCGGGUAAUACUUUCUUUCGCAUGAAGGAAAGUUGAAAGAUGGCUUCUUGCUAUCACUUACAGAUGGGCCCGCGGCGCAUUAGCUAGUUGGUGAGGUAACGGCUCACCAAGGCGACGAUGCGUAGCCGACCUGAGAGGGUGAUCGGCCACACUGGGACUGAGACACGGCCCAGACUCCUACGGGAGGCAGCAGUAGGGAAUCUUCCGCAAUGGACGAAAGUCUGACGGAGCAACGCCGCGUGAACGAUGAAGGUCUUCGGAUCGUAAAGUUCUGUUGUUAGGGAAGAACAAGUACCGUGCGAAUAGAGCGGUACCUUGACGGUACCUAACGAGGAAGCCCCGGCUAACUACGUGCCAGCAGCCGCGGUAAUACGUAGGGGGCAAGCGUUGUCCGGAAUUAUUGGGCGUAAAGCGCGCGCAGGCGGUUCCUUAAGUCUGAUGUGAAAGCCCACGGCUCAACCGUGGAGGGUCAUUGGAAACUGGGGAACUUGAGGACAGAAGAGGAGAGUGGAAUUCCACGUGUAGCGGUGAAAUGCGUAGAUAUGUGGAGGAACACCAGUGGCGAAGGCGACUCUCUGGU
rnacentral:rRNA from 1 species